UACGUAGGGGGCAAGCGUUGUCCGGAAUCAUUGGGCGUAAAGCGCGUGUAGGCGGCCCGAUAAGUCCGCUGUGAAAGUCCAGGGCUCAACCCUGGAAUGCCGGUGGAUACUGUCGGGCUCGAGUCCGGAAGAGGCGAGUGGAAUUCCUGGUGUAGCGGUGAAAUGCGCAGAUAUCAGGAGGAACACCAAUGGCGAAGGCAGCUCACUGGUCCGGUACUGACGCUGAGGUGCGAAAGCGUGGGGAGCAAACAGG
rnacentral:rRNA from 1 species